rnacentral:rRNA from 1 species
UACGGGAGGCAGCAGUGGGGAAUAUUGCACAAUGGGCGCAAGCCUGAUGCAGCCAUGCCGCGUGUAUGAAGAAGGCCUUCGGGUUGUAAAGUACUUUCAGCAGUGAGGAAGGUGGGUAUGUUAAUAGCAUACUCAUUUGACGUUAGCUGCAGAAGAAGCACCGGCUAACUCCGUGCCAGCAGCCGCGGUAAUACGGAGGGUGCGAGCGUUAAUCGGAAUUACUGGGCGUAAAGCGCAUGCAGGUGGUUUGUUAAGUCAGAUGUGAAAGCCCGGGGCUCAACCUCGGAAUUGCAUUUGAAACUGGCAAACUAGAGUACUGUAGAGGGGGUAGAAUUUCAGGUGUAGCGAUGAAAUGCGUAGAGAUCUGAAGGAAUACCGGUGGCGAAGGCGGCCCCCUGGACAGAUACUGACACUCAGAUGCGAAAGCGUGGGGAGCAAACAGGAUUAGAUACCCUGGUAG